rnacentral:lncRNA from 1 species
CCUAGCAGACAAUGUCACAUCAGAUGUUAUAACAUAAAUGUUAGGAGAUGCAAACCAUAAUUAUACACAACUAUGAUAGCUGAGAUAAUUAGAAAUCCAUGGAACUCAUUAAGAGCCCAAAUAUUACAACAAGGCAUUAGUAAGGACUGUCACAAAAUACAAACAUUCCAAAAAAAAACAAUAAAACAUCCAAGCUUCCAUAACAGCAGGGGAACCA